rnacentral:lncRNA from 1 species
AAACUGAACUGUAGAAUGGAGGUGUGGUAUUGUUCUGAAUUUUGCUUUUUGAGACUGAGUCUCACUAUGUAGUGUUACCUUGCCUAACAUUGUGUGAUCCACGUUGGCCUCCAACUUCAGCUUGCUAGGAGUACAGGCAUGUGCCACACCUGGUUUGAACAUCCAUCCGUCCCACAUUUUCGUCUCUCCCCUCUGCCCACUUCUGUAGUUACCAUGGGUUGAACUCAGGACCUUGAGCUUUUGAGGCAGCAGUUCCUGGUCCCUAUUCUUUUUGUUGUUAGUGCUGUUGUUUUCCAGUACUGGGGAUUGAACUCAGGACCUUGUGCUUUCAAGACAAAAUCCCCAGCCCUUGAACAUUAUGUUUAAAUGAUUGGAUUGCCUUAUUUAAAAUACAGUAUUAAAGAUUUUUAAGUUGACCUUUGUUCCCACCAGGAACAGAUAAGGCUGUGUCAUUAAAUGCUUCAUAUCUAGGAAAGCAAAAAUCUUAUCAAGUCUUGUCAGUUUCUAAUAUUUGCCUUUUUCUUGAAGGACUCUACAAUAAGGAAAGUUCAGGCUGGAGUUGCAGUAAAGACAAGGAUGCAUAUAGCAGCUUUGGGUCUCGUGAUUCAAGAGGAAAGUCCCGUUACUUCAGUGAUCGUGGAAGUGGAUCAAGGGGAAGAUUUGAUGAUCGUGACAGAACUGGCUUUUGCAAAUAUGAACGUAGUGGGUAUAGUCGUUGGUGUGACAGAGCAGAUGAAGAUGAUUGGUCAAAACCUCUUCCUCCAAGUGAACGCUUAG